rnacentral:rRNA from 1 species
AAUAGAGAGAGCGGCGUACGGGUGCGGAACACGUGUGCAACCUGCCUUUAUCAGGGGGAUAGCCUUUCGAAAGGAAGAUUAAUACCCCAUAAUAUAUUGAAUGGCAUCAUUUGAUAUUGAAAACUCCGGUGGAUAGAGAUGGGCACGCGCAAGAUUAGAUAGUUGGUAGGGUAACGGCCUACCAAGUCAGUGAUCUUUAGGGGGCCUGAGAGGGUGAUCCCCCACACUGGUACUGAGACACGGACCAGACUCCUACGGGAGGCAGCAGUGAGGAAUAUUGGACAAUGGGUGAGAGCCUGAUCCAGCCAUCCCGCGUGAAGGACGACGGCCCUAUGGGUUGUAAACUUCUUUUGUAUAGGGAUAAACCUUUCCACGUGUGGAAAGCUGAAGGUACUAUACGAAUAAGCACCGGCUAACUCCGUGCCAGCAGCCGCGGUAAUACGGAGGGUGCAAGCGUUAUCCGGAUUUAUUGGGUUUAAAGGGUCCGUAGGCGGAUCUGUAAGUCAGUGGUGAAAUCUCAUAGCUUAACUAUGAAACUGCCAUCGAUACUGCAGGUCUUGAGUAAAGUAGAAGUGGCUGGAAUAAGUAGUGUAGCGGUGAAAUGCAUAGAUAUUACUUUUUUUGGGUCUUCGGAUUCAGAGACUAAGCGAAAGUGAUAAGUUAGCCACCUGGGGAGUACGUUCGCAAGAAUGAAACUCAAAGGAAUUGACGGGGGCCCGCACAAGCGGUGGAUUAUGUGGUUUAAUUCGAUGAUACGCGAGGAACCUUACCAAGGCUUAAAUGGGAAUUGACAGGUUUAGAAAUAGACUUUUCUUCGGACAAUUUUCAAGGUGCUGCAUGGUUGUCGUCAGCUCGUGCCGUGAGGUGUUAGGUUAAGUCCUGCAACGAGCGCAACCCCUGUCACUAGUUGCCAUCAUUCAGUUGGGGACUCUAGUGAGACUGCCUACGCAAGUAGAGAGGAAGGUGGGGAUGACGUCAAAUCAUCACGGCCCUUACGCCUUGGGCCACACACGUAAUACAAUGGCCGGUACAGAGGGCAGCUACCUAGCGAUAGGAUGCGAAUCUCGAAAGCCGGUCUCAGUUCGGAUUGGAGUCUGCAACUCGACUCUAUGAAGCUGGAAUCGCUAGUAAUCGCAUAUCAGCCAUGAUGCGGUGAAUACGUUCCCGGGCCUUGUACACACCGCCCGUCAAGCCAUGGAAGUUUGGGGUACCUGAAGUCGGUGACCGUAACAGGAGCUGCCUAGGGUAAAACAAGUAACUAGGGCUAAGUCGUAACAAGGUAACCAAGG